GGAUGUUCUUUCUCCCUUGUGUUUACAUUAGCUUGUGUUCUUGAGUUUUAUCAUUAUUCCGUUAUUUCUCGAUCGUCUCUUGACAAAGAUUGUGGUCUAAAGAGUUCUCGACAGUGAGUGCAUCAAGGGCGCUAGAUCACUGAAAUUAUGACCUAUAAGGUCGAGAUGUCGCUUAAUUUAUCCAACCUAUGAUAGCCGAUAGUAAAUAAAGUUUUAGUUAUUAUCUGAAA